rnacentral:rRNA from 1 species
AUUGAACGCUGGCGGCAUGCCUACCAAAUGCAAGUCGAACGGAAAAAGUCUUCGGGUGCUGAACGGUGGGGAACGGGGGAAGAAUUCAUCGGAACGGGCCCGACUCGGGGGGAUAACGAAAGCAAAGCCUUUCUAAUUACCCAAUCCAACCUACGAUGGAAAGAGGGGGACCUCAGGCCUUUGGGGGAAGGAGGCGGCGAAUGCAGAUUAGGUAGUUGGUGGGGUAAAAGCUUACCAAGCCGACGAUCUGUAGCUGGUCUGAGAGGACGACCAGCCACACUGGGACUGAGACACGGCCCAGACUCCUACGGGAGGCAGCAGUGGGGAAUUUUGGACAAUGGGCGAAAGCCUGAUCCAGCCAUGCCGCGUGCAGGAUGAAGGCCUUCGGGUUGUAAACUGCUUUUGUACGGAACGAAAAGACUCUGGUUAAUACCUGGGGUCCAUGACGGUACCGUAAGAAUAAGCACCGGCUAACUACGUG